GAUGAACGCUAGCGGCAGGCUUAACACAUGCAAGUCGAGGGGUAUUGGUUUUCGGACCAAGAGACCGGCGCACGGGUGCGUAACGCGUAUGCAAUCUACCUUUUGCAGAGGGAUAGCCCCAGAGAAAUUUGGAUUAAUACCUCAUAGUAUAGUACUUUGGCAUCAAGGAACUAUUAAAGUCACAACGGCAAAGAUGAGCAUGCGUCCCAUUAGCUAGUUGGUAAGGUAACGGCUUACCAAGGCUACGAUGGGUAGGGGUCCUGAGAGGGAGAUCCCCCACACUGGUACUGAGACACGGACCAGACUCCUACGGGAGGCAGCAGUGAGGAAUAUUGGACAAUGGGCGCAAGCCUGAUCCAGCCAUGCCGCGUGCAGGAAUAAGGUCCUAUGGAUUGUAAACUGCUUUUAUACAGGAAGAAACACACCCUCGUGUGGGAGCUUGACGGUACUGUAGGAAUAAGGAUCGGCUAACUCCGUGCCAGCAGCCGCGGUAAAG
rnacentral:rRNA from 1 species